rnacentral:rRNA from 1 species
CAGCCGCCGCGGGAAUACGUAGGGUGCAAGCGUUAAUCGGAAUUACUGGGCGUAAAGCGUGCGCAGGCGGUUAUGCAAGACAGAGGUGAAAUCCCCGGGCUCAACCUGGGAACUGCCUUUGUGACUGCAUAGCUAGAGUGCGGCAGAGGGGGAUGGAAUUCCGCGUGUAGCAGUGAAAUGCGUAGAUAUGCGGAGGAAUACCGAUGGCGAAGGCAGCCCCCUGGGCCAAUACUGACGCUCAUGCACGAAAGCGUGGGGAGCAAACAGGAUUAGAUACCCCCGUAGUCCCUGUCUCUUAUAA